AAUCAAAACGUAAAGAAAAUG
rnacentral:miRNA from 10 species